CGUUGAUCUACACGAUCCCCACGCGGGACAGAGAACAGAGACUGUACCCAGCGGUGCAGAGACACCCUGUGCCCGCGCAGCACUUCAAGAGAAGAAGGCGAGAUGUACAGACUGAUCACCACCCUCGCCCUCCUGGUGGGCGUCCACCCCACCUCAGCCGACAGCGGAGGACUCCGGGGCAAGUCCCUCAUCUUCUCCCAACCGUCCUUCACCUCCAACGUGAAGCUGCUGCCAAGCCGUUUCCUCGAGUU